rnacentral:misc_RNA from 1 species
GAUGAAGAACGUAGCGAAAUGCGAUACGUAAUGUGAAUUGCAGAAUUCAGUGAAUCAUCGAGUCUUUGAACGCACAUUGCGCCCCCUGGUAUUCCGGGGGCAUGCCUGUCCGAGCGUCAUUGCUGCCCUCAAGCACGGCUUGUGUGUUGGGCCUCCGUCCUCCUCCCGGGGGACGGGCCCGAAAGGCAGCGGCGGCACCGCGUCCGGUCCUCGAGCGUAUGGGGCUUCGUCACCCGCUCUUGUAGGCCCGGCCGGCGCUUGCCGACACAUCAAUCUUUUUUCCAGGUUGACCUCGGAUCAGGUAGGAAUACCCGCUGAACUUAAGCAUAUCAAUAAGCGGAGGA